CCUACGGGUGGCUGCAGUGAGGAAUAUUGGUCAAUGGACGAGAGUCUGAACCAGCCAAGUAGCGUGAAGGAUGACUGCCCUAUGGGUUGUAAACUUCUUUUAUAUGGGAAUAAAAUGUUCCACGUGUGGGAUUUUGUAUGUACCAUAUGAAUAAGGAUCGGCUAACUCCGUGCCAGCAGCCGCGGUAAUACGGAGGAUCCGAGCGUUAUCCGGAUUUAUUGGGUUUAAAGGGAGCGUAGGUGGAUGGUUAAGUCAGUUGUGAAAGUUUGCGGCUCAACCGUAAAAUUGCAGUUGAAACUGGCAGUCUUGAGUACAGUAGAGGUGGGCGGAAUUCGUGGUGUAGCGGUGAAAUGCUUAGAUAUCACGAAGAACUCCGAUGGCGAAGGCAGUUCACUGGACUGCAACUGACACUGAGGCUCGAAAGUGUGGGUAUCAAACAGGAUUAGAUACCCUUGUAGUC
rnacentral:rRNA from 1 species